UACGUAGGUGGCAAGCGUUGUCCGGAUUUAUUGGGUUUAAAGGGUGCGUAGGCGGCCCUGUAAGUCAGUGCUGAAAUACCCCGGCUUAACCGGGGGGGUGGCAUUUGAUACUGCAGGGCUUGAGUACAGAUGAGGUAGGCGGAAUUGACGGUGUAGCGGUGAAAUGCAUAGAUAUCGUCAAGAACACCGAUAGCGAAGGCAGCCUUCUGGGCCAACACUGACGCUCAUGCACGAAAGCGUGGGGAGCAAACAGG
rnacentral:rRNA from 1 species